UAGUAACGCGAGUGAAGAGGGAAAGCUCAAAUUUGAAUCUGGGUCUUGACUCCCGAGUUGUAUCUAGAGAAGUGUUUUCCGCGUUGGACCGUGUACAAGUUCCCUGGAACGGGGCGUCAUAGAGGGUGAGAAUCCCGUAUAUGCCACGGACUACCAAUGCUCUGUGAUACACUCUCAACGAGUCGAGUUGUUGGGAAGCAGCUCAAAAUGGGUGGUAAAUUCCAUCUAAAGCUAAAUAUUGGCGAGAGACCGAUAGCGAACAAGUACCGUGAGGGAAAGAUGAAAAGCACUUUGGAAAGAGAGUGAAACAGUACGUGAAAUUGUUGAAAGGGAAGCGUUUGAAGUCAGUCACGUCUGUCGGAAUUCAGCCUGGCUUCUGUCUGGUGUACUUUCCGUCCGACGGGUCAGCAUCAAUUUCGACCGAGGGAAAAAGACGUGAGGAAUGUGGCUGUCUUCGGGCAUAGUUAUAGCCUCGGGUUGUAUGUCUCGGUUGGGAUUGAGGAACGCAGCGCGCCUAUUGGCCGGGGGUUCGCGCCCCUCGGUACGCGCUUAGGA
rnacentral:rRNA from 1 species